rnacentral:rRNA from 1 species
UCCCGCGUAAUUUAAGCAUAUUAAUAAGCGGAGGAAAAGAAACUAACAAGGAUUCCCCUAGUAGCUGCGAGCGAACAGGGAGGAGCCCAGCACCGAAUCCUGCGCGCCGAACGGUGCGUCUGGAAAUGUGGUGUUCGGGAGGAUCCGGUCAUCUCGUGAGAGUACGCCAGUCCAAGUCCAUCUUGAAAGCGGCCACAGCCCACAGAGGGUGCCAGGCCCGUAGGACGGCGGUGCGACUCGAUCGAAAGGAUCUCUAGAGUUCAAGAGUACGUGAAACCGUUCGGGGGUAAACGGGCGAAAUCUGGAAAAUCGAAGGGAAAGAUUCAAGCCCAAUCGCAGUGCGUCGCACGGUGGCCGCCGAUGGCGGCGGGGCGCCCGCGCGUUGCCGCAAGGCGCGCCGGUGUCGUUCCCGUCGUCCACGCGCCGCGUCGUCGUGCUCGCCUGCGUCGGGCCGCACUUCUCUCCUGGUAGUACGUNNNNNNNNNNNNNNNNNNNNNNNNNNNNNNNNNNNNNNNNNNNNNNNNNNUCUUGAAGCACGGACCAAGGAGUCUAACAUGUGCGCGAGUCAUUGGGACAUGCACUAAACCUAAAGGCGUAACGAAAGUGAAGGCGUUCGGCGCGUCCGCCCCUUCGGGAGGAGGACGCGUCGUCGCCGAGGGGGGAUUCGACCCGUCCGCAAGCGACGCGGUCGACGCACCCCCGCGGCGUCUCGUUGUCAAUGCGACACAGCAGGCGCACGCAGAGCGUACACGUUGGGACCCGAAAGAUGGUGAACUAUGCCCUGGCACUCGGAGUUUUAUACAGAGCGGCGCGGGCCGGGCGACCGGUCGCGCGUCGCACGUAACCAGUCUCAUCUGGUAAAGCGAAUGAUUAGAGGCCUUGGGGCCGAAACGACCUCAACCUAUUCUCAAACUUUAAAUGGGUGAGAAAUUCGACUUGCUCGAAUAAUGAAAUGAAGUCGAAUGAGACAUGAUGGAUGAACGAGCGGCCAAGUGGGCCAAUUUUGGUAAGCAGAACUGGUGCUGUGGGAUGAACCAAACGUCGAGUUAAGGCGCCUAAAUCGAUGCUCAUGGGAUACCAUGAAAGGCGUUGGUUGCUUAAGACAGCAGGACCGUCGUUGAUGUGCAGUCGAAUAACCUCCGGUUAUGACCACAUCGGGCGAAAGGGAAUCCGGUUUCUAUUCCGGAACCCGGCAGCGGAACCGACCAUGCGGGCCAAUGUCGCAGCGAUGCGGCAACUCGUCGGGGUAACCCAAAAGGACCCGGAGACGCCGUCGGAUGAUCGGGGCAGAGUUUUCUGUUCUGUAUGAGCGUUCGAGUUCCCUGGAAGCGCCUAGCGCGGAGAUAGGGUUUGGAACGCGAAGAGCACCGCACUUGCGGCGGUGUCCCGAUCUGUCCCUCGGACCUUGAAAAUCCGGGAGAGGGCCACGUGGAGGUGUCGCGCCGGAUCGUACCGAUAUCCGCAGCCGGUCUCCAAGGUCAGGAGCCUCUAGUCGAUAGAA